UGGGGAAUAUUCCGCAAUGGACGAAAGUCUGACGGAGCAACGCCGCGUGAGUGAAGAAGGCCUUCGGGUCGUAAAGCACUGUCCUCAGGGAAGAACCGCUUCAACAGGAAAUGGUUGAGGUCUGACGGUACCUGAGGAGGAAGCCCUGGCUAACUACGUGCCAGCAGCCGCGGUAAUACGUAGAGGGCAAGCGUUGUCCGGAAUCACUGGGCGUAAAGGGUACGCAGGCGGAUAUAUAAGUCAAAUGUGAAAGGUAUCGGCUUAACCGGUAGAAGGCAAUUGAAACUAUAUAUCUUGAGUGCAGGAGAGGAGAGUGGAAUUCCUGGUGUAGUGGUAAAAUGCGUAGAUAUCAGGAAGAACACCGGUGGCGAAGGCGGCUCUCUGGCCUGCAACUGACGCUGAGGUACGAAAGCUGGGGGAGCAAACGGGAUUAGAUACCCCCGUAGUCC
rnacentral:rRNA from 1 species